rnacentral:rRNA from 1 species
UCUGGUGACAAUGGCAAGGAGGUCACACCUGUUCCCAUGCCGAACACAGAAGUUAAGCUCCUUAGCGCCGAUGGUAGUC